rnacentral:rRNA from 1 species
UACGAAGGGGGCGAGCGUUGUUCGGAUUUACUGGGCGUAAAGGGCGCGCAGGCGGCGGAUCAAGUCAGACGUGAAAGCCCCGGGCUUAACCUGGGAACUGCGUUUGGGACUGAUUUGCUAGAGAUCGGGAGAGGAGAGUGGAAUUCCCAGUGUAGAGGUGAAAUGCGUAGAGAUCCGGAGGAACACCAGUGGCGAAGGCGACACGCUGGGCCGUACCUGACACUGAUGCGCGACAGCAUGGGGAGCAAACAGG